rnacentral:misc_RNA from 1 species
ACCCCGCCUUCAAUCAACUUCCCAACUGCCUCCCUAUCUCCCGCCAAAUUCAAAAUAGCUACUAAGGCAUCCCUCUUUGAAUUCGUUGGCCCCUCACGUGCCAAAUCCAUCAAUCCCUUCACCACACGUGUCUUUCGAGCUAACCUCUUCUUGUAAGCAGGUACACCUGACAAGCUAAAAAUUGUUGCUGCUGCAUUCCCUUUUGCCUCCCAUGUUGCACCAGACCGUAAC